AGUGUUUCAAAAUGAGCGCGAAGUAGCAGCUAGAAACGUCAUAAUAACCAAACUGCUGCUCCGAAGAUCUUAGCUGAGCUACUCAUUUGUACCAGGAUGGAUAAGAUGCCAGAAGAAGCGGCAGUCAGAUACAAGACAAUUGCUGAAUUACUGGAGAAACUAACCAAUGAAGCAAGAAAACUUGAAGAAAACCAGAAGAAGCUGGUAAAGCACAAUCACGCCCUUAGUAAUCUUAACAAGUCCUUCAAUCAGGCCCAGUCACAUCUGGAGAAGGUGGCAGCGGUGAAAUGGUCCAACCAUCUCCUUAACUUAUAGACCCUGAUCCCUUAGACUAGGAGAUUUUUUUUUUUUUUUUUUUAAUAAAUCUUUUUGUCAAGCCAUGAUGCAUUUUUGGUUGCCUGGAAGUUUAGCUUUUGGUUAUGAGUUAAUGUGAUGGGCAGAUAGUAGAUGGUGUAUUGUAUUUUGCAGUCUGUCCACAAAAGAAAAUGGCACUAGUGAGAUUCUGUAAAAAUUCAUACCUGAGCCAACAAUCUUAUUCAACUAAAUUUAAAAAUGAUCACAGGUGAAGACUGGUCUAAUCUUUUCUUUAACCAGCCCUACUGUACAGUACAAGUCAGAGGAGUAAGAUCCCUUUAUUAAACCUCUUGUUUUGUCUUAACAGCUGUAUUUUAUUACAAGAAUUAUUAAAGGCAGUCUUGUAUAAAAGUCUCCCCUCACAUGUCUUACAAAUGUAUAACACCAUUGUAUAACUACAGUCUAACAAAGAUGAUAAUAGCACAUACUUUUCAAUUCUUCAUU